UGCCCAGCAACUCCUAUCCCUACCUCCUCGCGGUACUGGCCGGGGUACGAGGGAAGGGAAGAUCGGGUAACCAACCCCCGGUGGGAACUUUGGUCGUAUGCUGACAGGGAAGG
rnacentral:ribozyme from 1 species